rnacentral:rRNA from 1 species
AAACCAUUCUCCCCCCUAAGUCCAGGCGAUAAAAAAGGAAAUUUUGGAGCAAUAGAAAAAGUACCGCAAGGGAAAGCUGAAAGAGAGAUGAAAAAGCCCAGUAAAGCUUAAAGAAGCAGAGCUUAAAGCUCGUACCUUUUGCAUCAUGAUUUAGCAAGCACUUUCAAGCAAAGAGAACCUAAAGUUUGUAACCCCGAAACUGAGUGAGCUACUCCAAGACAGCCUAUUUAUAGGGCGAACCCGUCUCUGUGGCAAAAGAGUGGGAAGAGCUUUGAGUAGAGGUGACAAACCUACCGAACUCAGUUAUAGCUGGUUGCCUGUGAAUUGAAUAGAAGUUCAGCCCCCUGGAUUCUCCACUCAUGCACUUUAUUUAACCCUUCAGACGCAAUGAGAAACCAGGGGUGUUAGUCAAAGGGGGUACAGCCCCUUUGAAACAAGACACAACUUUCCCAGCAGGAUAAAGAUCAUAUUCAAAUAAGGACAGAUGUUUUAGUGGGCCUAAAAGCAGCCACCUUAACAGAAAGCGUUAAAGCUCAAACAUGAAGCCCUCCCGUUAUACCGAUAACCUUAUCUUAAUCCCCCACAUUUAACAGGCCCUCCUAUGCAUCACAUAGGAACGACUAUGCUAAUAUGAGUAAUAAGAAAGUAUAACCACUUUCUCCUUGCACAUGUGUAAAUCGGAACGGACCCCCCACCGAAUCUUAACGGCCCCAAUCAAAGAGGGUAUUGGAAACCACCACAAAUUUAGGCCAGAAAAACAUCCAAUGAAAACCCGUUAACCCCACACUGGUGUGCCCAAAAGGAAAGACCAAAAGGGGGAGAAGGAACUCGGCAAACAUACCCCAAGCCUCGCCUGUUUACCAAAAACAUCGCCUCUUGCAUAACCACAGUAUAAGAGGUCCCGCCUGCCCAGUGACAACUUAGUUCAACGGCCGCGGUAUUUUGACCGUGCAAAGGUAGCGUAAUCACUUGUCUUUUAAAUGAAGACCUGUAUGAAUGGCAUAACGAGGGCUUAACUGUCUCCUUCCCCUGGUCAAUGAAAUUGAUCUCCCCGUGCAGAAGCGGGGAUAAAACCAUAAGACGAGAAGACCCUAUGGAGCUUUAGACACACAGGUGGACCAUGUCAAAUACCCCCAGCUAAGGGCCCGAACUAAAUGGAACCUGCCUUGAUGUCUUCGGUUGGGGCGACCAUGGGGAAUACAAAACCCCCACGUGGAAAGGGAGCACACCCCUAAGUUACUUCUUCUCCCGCAAGCCAGAGCAACAGCUUUAACAAGCAGAAAUUCUGACCAAACUGAUCCGGUAAAACCGAUCAACGAACCAAGUUACCCUAGGGAUAACAGCGCAAU